rnacentral:lncRNA from 1 species
AUGAAGUCCAAUCCCUUUGGGACUUCUGACUGAAACAGAACUGUAAGAAGCAUUUCAAUGCACCUUCCCACAUUUGCAGGAAGAUUAUGUCUUCAUCUCUUUCCAAAGAGCUGGAUCUGAAGUACAAUGUUAGAUCCAUGCCUACGUGAAAGGAUGAUGAAGUUCAGAUUGUGCAAGAACACUAUAAAGUUCAGCAAACUGGCAACGUAGUCCAGGUUCACAGGGAAAAAAUAUGUCAUUUACAUUGAAUGGGUGCAGCAGGAAAAGGCUAACAGCACCACUGUCCAUGUGGGCAUUUACUCCAGCAAGGUGGUUGUCACUGGGCUAACACUAGAUGAAGACCACAAAAAAGACCCCUGAAAGGAAAGCCAAAUCUUGUCAAGUAGCAGGGAAAGGGGGAUAUAUAAGGAAGAAACAAUAGAGAAGAUGCAG